UUGACCUCAAAUCAGGUAGGACUACCCGCUGAACUUAAGCAUGUCAAUAAGCGGAGGA
rnacentral:rRNA from 2 species